UCGGAGUCCAUUCCAGGACCGCGGACGAGGGAGCAGUACCCGCCGAGCGACAAGACUGCCACGAA
rnacentral:ncRNA from 1 species